AGCGCAAAAUGUGUGAUAAGUUUCACAUAAAGCUAAAUACUGGCGCGAGACCGAUAGCGAACAAGUACUGUGAAGGAAAGAUGAAAAGGACUUUGGAAAGAGAGUUAAAAGUGCCUGAAAUUGCUGGAAGGGAAGCGAUUGAAACUUUUGUGUCCCCUGGGUGCCCCUGGGUGUUUGUCGUCUGCACUUGUCGUUUCUGUUAUAAGAGCGGGUUGUGUUUGUAUGGCUUUCUCCCAGUCGAUCCCUUGGGUUUGGUCAGCAUCAGCAGAUCGGUGACUAUCCUCCCUAAGGAAGGUAGGCCUCUUGCGGGCUGUUAUAGCCUUAGGUUACUGUUCACCGUUCUGCUGAGGUGUGUUCUUGCGCGUUCGCUGGCCCCACUUUCGAGUACCAGCGUUCCGCGAUGCUGUCCCUAACGGUUUCAACCGACCCGUCUUGAAACACGGACCAAGGAGUCUAAUAUAUGUGCGAGUAUGCGGGCUGUACCCCUGUAUGCGCAAUGAAAGUGAGAGUAGGGAGAGUUGUGCUUCUUUGGCAUUUCUCGCACCUACGACCGACCACGAUCUCUGUGAGAGGUUUGAGUUGUAGCACAUCUGUUAGGACCCGAAAGAUGGUGAACUAUGCCUGAGUAGGGUGAAGUCAGGCGAAAGCCUGAUGGAGGCUCGUAGCGAUACUGACGUGCAAAUCGUUCGUCAAACUUGGGU
rnacentral:rRNA from 1 species